UUUCCCAGGCGGAAGCCCUUGGACCGGACCCAGAACUGGAACUUGCCUUUCUCCCCCCCGCCGGAGCCGCUGCCGGAGCCGGAUCCCCCCUGCAGCACCUCGGCGAUGCGCUGCUCGCUGCGGACUCUGGCUGGGACAGAACAUCUGUCUGUUGCUAUGGCUGCAGUACACUUGAAGGGGAUGACUGGAUAAUUAUUGCAAACAUCCAUCCUGCCUGAUGUGCUCCCGGACCUCGCUGGCCCGAGUCAGGGGCAGCGGCCGGCAGCUCCAGAACCGGCCUUGGCCAUGGGGAUCCUACCUAGGGACUGUGCCUUGGCAACACCUUUUCAUUUACAUAAUUAAUGAGGCUGAGGCUGCAGGGCUCCUGGGAAAUCCGACGCAGAGCAGCAGCGAUGAAAUGGCACAGAGGGCUUGAGCCUUCACAGUGGCUCCGAGCUCUGCUCCCCGCUCUGGGGGCUGCCAGAGGGGAUGUUCUCCCAUUCCCAUUCAUUUACCGCCCACUUCUAUGUGAACAGAUUGCUCUGGGCCUGAUCCUGCACACACCUCCUGCAGGCGUGGGCUCUGGGUACAGUGCUGGGUGCCUGCCGGGCCCGGCCCUAUGCCUUGUGGGCUGUCCCUGUCUCAGCCUAUUCCCACGUCUGAAAUAACACAGCGAGAAAUGACACCGAGGUUCCCCAUCUGACUGGGUGCUGCUGCGUUCUUCGCCCAGCCACACAACUUCAAUGCGCCCAUUGUAUGGGUUUGUUUUAUUUUUUAUCUGUUUAUCAACAUGUGGAGGGACAGUGAGUCAGUGGGGGGAGAGCUGGGGCUGGGAUGAGCAUGGGUGUCCUCACCCAGGGCAGCAUCACGGUAUCACAGCAGGGACCCUCUGUGGGGCUCCCUGGGAGCCACCCUGUGCAGGACAGGGCAGACCUGUUUGUCCCAAUGCCUGACAUUGGCGAUAUGUAAUAAUCACAGAGUGCCAAGAAAUCAGAGCAGGACACAACAGAACUCAUGUCUGCUUCAUGCCCAGGGGUGGAAUCACUGCGGGGCACUCCCCAGGGCUGAUGACUUGCUGCGAUCUGGGGCAGAUCUGUGAGCCCCUGCAUGACCCCCUCCAAUGGGAGGGUGAUGGGGGGGCUGUGUGCUGCUCCUGGUCCUGUGUGAUCACUAUCGUCCCAGCAGUUUUGUGUAUGAUUCAAUAAACUCCUUUGCUUGCACAACUUA